rnacentral:rRNA from 1 species
UACGGGGGGUGCGAGCGUUGUCCGGAAUCACUGGGCGUAAAGGGCGCGUAGGUGGUUUGAUAAGGGUGUGGUGAAAGUCCGGAGCUCAACUCCGGAUCUGCCGUGCCGACUGUCAAACUCGAGGGCUGUAGAGGCAGACGGAAUUCCGGGUGUAGCGGUGGAAUGCGUAGAGAUCCGGAGGAAGACCGGUGGCGAAGGCGGUCUGCUGGGCAGUUUCUGACACUUGAGGCGCGACAGCGUGGGGAGCAAACAGGAGUUAGAUGA